GAUGAACGCUAGCGGCAGGCCUAAUACAUGCAAGUCGGACGGGAUUCAGGAGCUUGCUUCUGAUGAGAGUGGCGCACGGGUGCGUAACACGUAUGUAACCUACCUUUAUCAGGGGGAUAGCCCCUCGAAAGAGAGAUUAAGCCCGCAUAAAAUCACAGCACAGCAUUGUGUAAUGAUCAAAUAUUUAUAGGAUAAAGAUGGGCAUGCGGAACAUUAGCUAGAUGGCGGGGUAACGGCCCACCAUGGCGACGAUGUUUAGGGGAUCUGAGAGGAUGGCCCCCCACACUGGUACUGGGACACGGACCAGACUCCUACGGGAGGAAGCAGAAAGGAAUAUUGGGCAAGGGGCGGAAGCCUGAACCAGCCAUGCCGCGUGCAGGAAGACGGCCCUACGGGUUGUAAACUGCUUUUAUACGGGAAUAAACCCAGAUACGUGUAUCUGGCUGAAUGUACUGUAAGAAUAAGGAUCGGCUAACUCCGUG
rnacentral:rRNA from 1 species